AGAUUUCUCUCUGACACUUGGCGAUCAUCUAUCUAAGAAUAUAGUUGAACGUCUAUCAGCUCUGAGAACUCGCAUAGUUGUAAUGGCUGGCCAAGAAGGUCCAACAAUUACUCGAACGCGGAGAAAAACUGCUACCCAACAUGGUGGUUCAACAUUAGCUGAUCUUCAACAGGCUCUGGAAGAUUAUUUACCUGUUCUUUUG
rnacentral:misc_RNA from 1 species